GUGAGACCCAAUGGAUUUUGGCAAAGGAGCUUCCUCUUUGCUAGAAUACACUUUGGAAUCAGCUCUGGAUCUUUACUCCCCACCUCCCACAUAUUCAAAUUUAUAAAUGUACCAGCAUGCCAGUUGAACAUCGAUUGGUUGAACGUAGAUAUGCAAAUAAGGUGAAAAUAAGACCAACCAGAGAAGAGUUGUCAAAUUUGGAUGGGUUCAGAAGAACCUAGGCUUACUAAAAGUUCUCCAACAGGUCUGCCUGCCCCUGACUCUGCUGAGGAGAAUGUUGUUCAAGCUCACGGAAAUAGUUUCUUUUUGAGCUGACCCUGAGGAAGCAUCUUUAGAGAGAAAUUCUUUUGGAAAAUGAGUAUCCCAUUAUGUUCACCUUGUCACCCCAUCACCCUUUGCCUCUCAGUGUCAAAGGGGUGAUGUGACAUGUGGGAACAGAAGCAAAUUUCCGUCAUCUUGAUUCAGGACUUGGCUUUAUAUUUCACCAGAUGUGACCUAAGAGGUGUGUCUAGUAUCUUGUAUAACUGGG
rnacentral:lncRNA from 1 species